UGAACAAGGCCGAAAAGGCUAUCAAAGUUUGUUAUGAUAUAAUAACCUAGAAUAUUACCAGGUAAUAUGGGGAUAUAGUCCAUGGGAGACAUAGGAUUUCGGUCCAGAUGUCCAUCAAAUUCUUUCAGGCUUCAGUGUUGAGUCAGCAUAAGUUGAAUCAAGUUGUGGUUGACUUGCCUUGUGCGGAAUAUCCUGGCAGGUGAAGGAACAAUUACUGGCCCUGUUGUACAGUAACUGCUGCAGCUCCUCCCCACCUCAUCCCUGAAAUACAGCAUUGUGUCACAGGGGCUAACUCGUAAGUCCAUAAUUUGAUGAAAAUGACCCCCAGACCACCCUCGGUGAGGAUAUGAAGACUUCAACAGGGUUAAACUCUUGCAGAAGAAUGACACAGACUGCUAAGACGAGUCCAUACCAGUCACCAACCCAGGAAACUGGAAAGCUGACCUGGCACUAUCUCCUGCUCCACCCAGUUGGAGAGAGCAGUGGUCCUUCCCGGUGCCACCUGCUCAGUCCUCACCCCUGUGUGGCCAGGCUUCCACGCUGCUGCCUCACCCAGUUCCGGUGUCAGACUAUGCCUCUACCAGCUGCAGAUUCCAAAGAGUUGAGAAAAAGAAUUACUGUAAAUUUGGAAAUGUUCACAGCGGUUUUAUUUUUAGUAGUGUCAUAACACUUGACACAAAUUUGUUUUGCAUAUCUAUUAUACUGCAGAAUUGUUUUAUUGGUGAACUUCAAACACUGCAAAAUCCACAUGUGCUUUUCCCUCGUACUAGUAAAUUGCAUUUUAAAAGUACCAGGGUCUGCUGGCCCCAAUGGCUUUAGUACAUGUACCACAGCUUAUAGAUGCUAAAAUCUUAUGAAAGAUUGUUGAUAUCUGUCUUGAUAUUUCAGUUUGCUGAGUAGUAAACUAUCAAACUUAGAGCGUCUCCACUUCCAGACCUGCAUUAGCUGACCUUUGUUGCUGUGUGUGUAUUGUUGCGAUGUAAGAUGUAAUCAACCUGCAGAAUCAUAUUUCUUUAUCAUCUUCCCAUUAAUAUAUUGAUUUUUCAGUGCUGACUGUUUGACAGGUAGACCAGGAUUUUGCCAUCAGUGUCCUGUUUAUGUAUGUCAGAGCCCACCUGUUUACCAAACAAAUCACAACUACCUCACAUGAAUGGGAGAAAACUUAAUUGGAACAGACCAGUGCUGGCAUGUUUUAUCCACUACUUAAUCAAUGUCCUCAAAAGCUUCUCUUUUUUUAAGGUACAUGUAUUAAGACAUUUUGGUGCAUUUUCAUAGCUGUAUUGUCCUGAUAUCUUUUUUGUCCUUUGCUGCAGUCUGCGAUGCUUAGAGAAUGUUUAAAACUCUUGAUUUAAUUGUCCAGAAUAACAAGUUUUAACAACUAAAAGUCUGAAACAUUCCAUGUAUAAUGUAGUACAUGUAUAACUUUGCACACAGUCUCUCAUAUC